CUCCGCCCGAGCGCCCUGCCUAGGGCAGUUCAUUGGCAGCGCCCGCCCGCCCGGCGCCGCCCCCUUUGGAAGUCAAUCAGGGCGUUGUUGGUGGAGCGCAGAGCUGCACGCGAAGGGCCCGGAGCCACCGCACGGGCUGCCCAGACUCCCCCCGUCAGUCGCCACCCCAGGGCAGCCAGCUGGCAGGGGCGGCAGCUUUCACAGGCAUGAGCUGCAUUGUCCCCGAGACGGCUGCCUUAGUGGAUGGUGGAGAGUAAUGCAGUCAUUUACGUAGCUGGGUCCCACUGAAGGCUUUGAAGAUCAGACUCAAUGUCAACCUGACGAAAUGAAAAGUGACUGCAUAGAAACAUCUUAUGCAAACCUCUGAGGAAGCCUAACAGCAUUUUGCCACAUGAAUUCAUUUUCACUGAAGCAGCAGAGACUUGUGAUCUGGCACUCAGACUUUAUCCCAGCAAUAGAGUUGCAUUGACCAGACAUCAAAAGCAACAUGUUGAAUUUGGUCAAGCAGCACAAGUUGUCAGCAUUUGGAAACUGAUUAUGUUAGCAAGUGGCUACCAGCAGAGAAAUUUACAUGCUUGCACAUGGUUACUCCCCUCCCCCCCGACUGUCAUUAGCAAUGCUUUUCUCUUUAGGUUUCAGCUGUCCUUAAAACAGCCAUGACAUCUGGCCUGACAAAGACAACAAAUACAUGAUCUCAGUAGAGUAAAUGAUUUCAGGGGCAGAGGGGGAAGAAACAGUGACAGGGCAUUCCUUGGCAGGAGCAUUGGAACACUCAGUUCAGAGAGCAAGAGCUGCAGGAAUAAAAAUACCAGUAAGAACACUAGAUCUCCGAAUGCCUGAACACGCCGAGAGAGCGCCUUUACUUUUAAAGGAAAGGUAAUGUGUUGCUGUAUUGCCCUAGCCAUAUACCAUAAAUAAAAUGUGUACUAAUGAUACCCUAAUACAUUUACAUUUCCUGACAAAUUCUAAAUGGCACUGAUUUUAUUCAGGUUUCACAAGAUUAUACAGUAAUAUUUUGAUGCAACUGUCUUUACUAUCAGAUAAACAGGCAACUUUAAAGGCAGCCUGCCAAGUAAUCUGGCGAAAACAAACUGACAACUUCAAAGAGUUUGAUUCUGAUAAGCAAUGUCCUAUGGAUUCUAAAGGUGUGACAUUCAAAAGCACUCCACUAUUGGACUUUGAUAGGAGCUCAGCUAGGCCAAUGCAGAACGCUUUGGAGAAUGACACCCUAUAUAGCCUGGGGUUCAUUCAGUCUUUCCCACAUUAAUUAAAGGCAAUGGAGUUAUCCCAAGGAUAAAUUUAGCUCACAUAGAUUUAACCCACAGCUAUUAUUGAGUAAUCAAAAUAGAAAAAGCAAUCACUGUUCAGCAGGACUUAUAGGGCCAACAUUUCCAAAGCAGAACUCUUAAUUUUGCUAUAAUUUUAAAUUGGGUUUAAUCAAAUGAGGUUGAGGCCCCUUUAAAAAGGCCACCAUAUUGUCUGCUCUCCUAUGUAUAGCCAGCGGGUGGAGCUAUGCUAAUAUCCUCAGUGAUGGAUAUUGACACACAGUCAGAGAAGUAAAUGCGGCAGAGCCAGGCUGUCUGGGCUCCAUUAAAAGAAACAUACAGGGGAAAACAUCACUGUUCAAAAAUCA